rnacentral:rRNA from 1 species
CCCCUAGAUGCUCUGGGCCGCACGCGCGCUACACUGGUCGAUGCAACGAGUUUCUUUCCUUGGCCGACAGGCCUGGGCAAUCUUUGAACAUCGAUCGUGAUCGGGAUAGAUUCUUGUAAUUUUUGAUCUUAAACGAGGAAUUCCUAGUAAACGCAAGUCAUCAGCUUGCAUUGAUUACGUCCCUGCCCUUUGUACACACCGCCCGUCGCACCUACCGAUUGAAUGGUCCGGUGAAAUCUCCGGACUGGCGUGAGUCGGAGCAAUCUGACAAACACCGGAAAGUUGAUUAAACCUUACCAUUUAGAGGAAGGAGAAGUCGUAACA